rnacentral:rRNA from 1 species
UACAGAGGGGGCAAGCGUUAUUCGGAAUUAUUGGGCGUAAAGGGCGCGUAGGCGGCUUGGCAAGUGGAAGGUGAAAUCCCUCGGCUUAACCGAGGAACUGCCCUCCAAACUGCUUGGCUUGAGACCGGGAGAGGUGAGUGGAAUUCCCAGUGUAGCGGUGAAAUGCGUAGAUAUUGGGAGGAACACCAGUGGCGAAGGCGGCUCACUGGACCGGUACUGACGCUGAUGCGCGAAAGCGUGGGGAGCAACGGG